UACGGAGGAUCCAAGCGUUAUCCGGAUUUAUUGGGUUUAAAGGGUGCGUAGGCGGCCUGUUAAGUCAGGGGUGAAAGACGGUGGCUCAACCAUCGCAGUGCCCUUGAUACUGACGGGCUUGAAUGGACUAGAGGUUGGCGGAAUGUGACAAGUAGCGGUGAAAUGCAUAGAUAUGUCACAGAACACCGAUUGCGAAGGCAGCUAACUAUGGUCAUAUUGACGCUGAGGCACGAAAGCGUGGGGAUCAAACAGG
rnacentral:rRNA from 1 species